rnacentral:rRNA from 1 species
UGGCGGACGGGUGAGUAAUGUCUGGGGAACUGCCCGAUGGAGGGGGAUAACUACUGGAAACGGUAGCUAAUACCGCAUAACGUCGCAAGACCAAAGAGGGGGACCUUCGGGCCUCUUGCCAUCGGAUGUGCCCAGAUGGGAUUAGCUAGUAGGUGGGGUAACGGCUCACCUAGGCGACGAUCCCUAGCUGGUCUGAGAGGAUGACCAGCCACACUGGAACUGAGACACGGUCCAG